UACGGGGGGGGCAAGCGUUGUUCGGAAUUACUGGGCGUAAAGGGCUCGUAGGCGGCCAACUAAGUCAGACGUGAAAUCCCUCAGCUUAACUGGGGAACUGCGUCUGAUACUGGAUGGCUUGGAUUUGGGAGAGGGAUGCGGAAUUCCAGGUGUAGCGGUGAAAUGCGUAGAUAUCUGGAGGAACACCGGUGGCGAAGGCGGCAUCCUGGACCAAUAUUGACGCUGAGGAGCGAAAGCCAGGGGAGCAAACAGG
rnacentral:rRNA from 1 species